rnacentral:tRNA from 1 species
GAGGUCUUGGCUUAAAUUAAAGCGUUUGAGUUGCAAUCAGAAGAUGUAUUGUUAUACAGGCCUUCAGAA